GUUUGCCCCAUAUUUGUCGACUUCUACAAAGGAGGGAUUAAACAACUAUUCCACAGAUGUGAAAAAUGUGUGGCCCUAGAAGAUGGCUAUAUAGAGAAGAAGGAGUUGGAGGAUUAAAUUUCAGAUCCCUAGCAGAUCCUACCCGCGAUGAGAGUAAGAACUUUUUGGUCUCCCCUCGUAUAUUCUAUAUUGUUAUACGGUUUGAAAUAGCCGCAGGGUUUGAAAAUUAUACAAACUUUCCUCAUUGUACUGUCACGAUUGAUAGAAAGCAAAUAAAGUUUAUAUAGAUUUUUUUAAUAGUAUUUAAUAUGCUACCAUUAUAAAAAGUACUCUCUAAUUGUAUUAUUGGC
rnacentral:lncRNA from 1 species